rnacentral:rRNA from 1 species
GACGAACGCUGGCGGCGUGCCUAAUACAUGCAAGUAGAACGCUGAAGGAGGAGCUUGCUCUUCUGGAUGAGUUGCGCACGGGUGAGUAACGCGUAGGUAACCUUCCUGGUAGCGGGGGAUAACUAUUGGAAACGAUAGCUAAUACCGCAUAAGAGUAGGUGUUGCAUGACAUUUUCUUAACAGGUGCAAUUGCAUCACUACCAGAUGGACCUGCGUUGUAUUAGCUAGUUGGUGGGGUAACGGCUCACCAAGGCGACGAUACAUAGACGACCUGAGAGGGUGAUCGGCCACACUGGGACUGAGACACGGCCCAGACUCCUACGGGAGGCAGCAGUAGGGAAUCUUCGGCAAUGGACGGAAGUCUGACCGAGCAACGCCGCGUGAGUGAAGAAGGUUUUCGGAUCGUAAAGCUCUGUUGUAAGAGAAGAACGAGUGUGAGAGUGGAAAGUUCACACUGUGACGGUAUCUUACCAGAAAGGGACGGCUAACUACGUG